GUGCUACUCCCUCCGUCCUAAAUUACUUGUCUUAAAUUUGUCUAGAUAUGGAUGUAUCUAGACAUGUUUUAGUGUUAGAUACAUCCGUAUCUAGAUAAAUCUAAGACAAGUAAUUUGGGACGGAGGGAGUAUUAG
rnacentral:pre_miRNA from 1 species